UAUAGAUGUGUGUGUGAAUUAGUUAUAUAGUCUAGCCUGCGCAGUGAUUUAUAUAUAGGGCCGCGGUAAUAUGACCGUGCGAACGUAGCAUAGUCAGUAGUCUAUUAAUUGGACGCAUGAAUGAAUGGUUGGACGAGGGAUAUACUGUCUGCUAAGCGGCGUAUGAAUAUAACUAUUGAGUGAUAAGGCUCAAAUUGUAUAGGCGGACGAUAAGAGGCUAUAAAACUUUAUAUAAAUUAGGCUUAUCUAGCGAUGUGCGUGAAUAGUAGUUUUGUCUGGUAUAUAUAUCGUUGCGGAGAUGUAGAUAUUAUGAGUAACUCUCUAUAUAAUAUUAUAGCAUAGACUAGAAUUUGAUCGUUCCUUGGGGAUAAGGAGAAUAAGUUACUAUAGCGAUAACAGCGUGAUAUUCUAUGAGAGUACUUAUCGACAAGAGUAGUUGCGACCUCGAUGUUGAAUUAAAAUUUCAGCUAGGUGUAGCCGAUUAGCUGCUGG
rnacentral:rRNA from 1 species